rnacentral:piRNA from 1 species
CCCACAUGCGAUGGGGAAACUGGGC